GGGUCCCUUUACCUAAGGGCCUUCCAUAUUGGGAUUUCAAGUAUCUUGAGGGAUGCUACUGUAAGAUCUCUUCAGGUGAAGGAUAUUGUCCUGCUCAUUGGAUUCCCAGAGACAUUUAGUUGGCCACUGUGAGAACAGGAUGCUGUGCUAGAUGGGCCUUCGUCUGGAGCUCUACUUAUGCUCUCCUCCCACUCUUUUUUUUUUUUUUUUUUUUUGGAGCUCAGGUGACUAAGAACAUUUGCCUUGGUUAUUGUAGCUGAUAGUCACAUGGAGUCCUUUCUGGAGGUACUCAGGGGUAUGCAGUACCAGCACCUUCUUUUUCAAAUGUGGCACUUCAUGGUGAAUAUCAGCACCUCUUUUUCU